AUAUAUAAAUAAUCAAACGGACGAGCAGAACUGAGAAUAAGAAAAUUGAUAAA
rnacentral:guide_RNA from 1 species